rnacentral:rRNA from 1 species
GCAAUCGGGAUGUCUAGCCAUGUGAGUCAUUGUAGCAAUACAAGGCAGACGGCUCAGUAACGCGUAGUCAAUCUACCCUAUGGACGGGAAUAACCUCGGGAAACUGAGAAUAAUACCCGACAGAACAUUAUACCUGGAACGGUUUAUGUUUCAAAUGAUUUAUCGCCGUAGGAUGGGACUGCGGCCUAUCAGUUUGUUGGUGAGGUAAUGGCCCACCAAGACUAUUACAGGUACGGGCUCUGAGAGGAGUAGCCCGGAGAUGGGUACUGAGACACGGACCCAGGCCCUAUGGGGCGCAGCAGGCGAGAAAACUUUGCAAUGUGCGAAAGCACGACAAGGUUAAUCCGAGUGGUUUCUGCUAAAGAAACCUUUUGCUAGUCCUAGAAACACUAGUGAAUAAGGGGUGGGCAAGUUCUGGUGUCAGCCGCCGCGGUAAAACCAGCACCUCAAGUGGUCAGGAUGAUUAUUGGGCCUAAAGCAUCCGUAGCUCGUUUUGUAAGUUUUCGGUUAAAUCCAUACGCUUAACGUAUGGGCUGCCGGGAAUACUGCAUAACUAGGAAGUGGGAGAGGUAGACGGUACUCGGUAGGAAGGGGUAAAAUCCUUUGAUCUAUUGAUGACCACCUGUGGCGAAGGCGGUCUACCAGAACACGUUCGACGGUGAGGGAUGAAAGCUGGGGGAGCAAACCGGAUUAGAUACCCGGGUAGUCCCAGCUGUAAACUAUGCAAACUCAGUGAUGCAUUGGCUUGUGGCCAAUGCAGUGCUGCAGGGAAGCCGUUAAGUUUGCCGCCUGGGAAGUACGUACGCAAGUAUGAAACUUAAAGGAAUUGGCGGGGGAGCACCACAAGGGGUGAAGCCUGCGGUUCAAUUGGAGUCAACGCCGGG